rnacentral:tRNA from 1 species
ACCUGGGUGGCUCAGUUGGUUAGGGAUCUGACUUCAGUUCAGGUCAUGAUCUCACAGUUUGUGGGUUCAGGUCCCACCUCGGGCU